AAGCGCAGCUGCAAAAAAAAUCGAGUAGAGAAGAAGUAGGCAGACAAAGAAGAAGAAGAAGAAGUUCUCGGCGUGCUUCAAUGGCGAUAUCAGUAGCAGCUUCGUCCUCUAUGGCCGUGAUGGUUCCACGUGUUCCCGCCGUAUCCACCCGUUGCUCCGCCGUCCCUUAUCUUCCUCCUCGCUCCUUUGGCCGAUCCUCUUUCACCGUUCCGUUGAAGCUUGUUU
rnacentral:sRNA from 1 species